UAGGGAAUCUUCCGCAAUGGACGCAAGUCUGACGGAGCAACGCCGCGUGAGUGAAGAAGGAUUUCGGUUCGUAAAACUCUGUUGUUAGAGAAGAACAGCGCAUAGAGUAACUGUUAUGCGUGUGACGGUAUCUAACCAGAAAGCCACGGCUAACUACGUGCCAGCAGCCGCGGUAAUACGUAGGUGGCAAGCGUUGUCCGGAUUUAUUGGGCGUAAAGCGAGCGCAGGCGGUCAAUUAAGUCUGAUGUGAAAGCCCCCGGCUCAACCGGGGAGGGUCAUUGGAAACUGGUUGACUUGAGUGCAGAAGAGGAGAGUGGAAUUCCAUGUGUAGCGGUGAAAUGCGUAGAUAUAUGGAGGAACACCAGUGGCGAAGGCGACUCUCGGGUCUGUAACUGACGCUGAGGUUCGAAAGCGUGGGUAGCAAACAGG
rnacentral:rRNA from 1 species